rnacentral:rRNA from 1 species
GAUGAACGCUGGCGGCGUGCCUAAUACAUGCAAGUCGAGCGAACAGACGAGGAGCUUGCUCCUCUGACGUUAGCGGCGGACGGGUGAGUAACACGUGGAUAACCUACCUAUAAGACUGGGAUAACUUCGGGAAACCGGAGCUAAUACCGGAUAAUAUAUUGAACCGCAUGGUUCAAUAGUGAAAGACGGUUUUGCUGUCACUUAUAGAUGGAUCCGCGCCGCAUUAGCUAGUUGGUAAGGUAACGGCUUACCAAGGCAACGAUGCGUAGCCGACCUGAGAGGGUGAUCGGCCACACUGGAACUGAGACACGGUCCAGACUCCUACGGGAGGCAGCAGUAGGGAAUCUUCCGCAAGGGGCGAAAGCCUUACGGAGCAACGCCGCGUGAGUGAUGAAGGUCUUCGGAUCGUAAAACUCUGUUAUUAGGGAAGAACAAAUGUGUAAGUAACUAUGCACGUCUUGACGGUACCUAAUCAGAAAGCCACGGCUAACUACG